UUGUAGAAAUUGCAAUGAGGAAGAGGUACCUAUAACAGCGGGUCUUUGCAGACAAUGGCCAUUCCAUAUCUAGAAGCAGUGCACAAAGAUGGGGGAAAGAAUCUAUGUUUAUGCUCCCAUGAGUUUGGUUUAGUCCACAUUUGCUGAAUUUGCUUGCUUUUGUUUUGUAAUUGCUCUGUUGGGAGGUAGCAUAGGAUUGUUUGCAUGUCUGAAAUCCCAGGCACAUAGCACUGAAAGGUUUGUGUGCCUCGAGGGAUGUUUUAAGUGAAAGAAACAAGCAUUUGCUUUAAUGUGUGAUUUGACCAAGAAGCAUGCUAGAACAAGAGUCACUUCUUGCAUGGAGCUGUGACUACAAGAUUCCUUUGAGUAGUUCCGAAGCCUUCAAACUGGUCACUCAUUUUUGUUUGUUUGUUUGUUUGACUUCUAUACCACCUAUCUGGCUGCCAAGGCCACUCUGAGUGGUUUACAUAUAGCAACAGUUUUACUACCAGAGAAGCAGUGCCAGCACAAGCUUUCCAUCAUCUGAGGUGGAAAGACCUCCCUUCCUGCUAUCCCCUGCAGUGCAUACUUCACCUCUGAUGCUGUGGAGGAACGCUUGUGGGAUGAGAAAGAAGAGAAUAUCUGUGGCAGUUGCAACAGUGAUGAUGUGUCUUAAUCACCAUUAUUUGAAGCUUGGCCCAAGCCAUAGCAUUGUGAAAAAGCAGGACAGAUUCUUCCUUAUGCAAUCCUUUCACUUAAAUAUUAAGCCACCAUGUUGUAGCACCCACAACAAAAAUUGGGCAAAACAGGAAUAUGAAGAAUGCAAAUUAGUUCUCUAACGCUGUUUAAAGCUCCAGUAUAAAAGCAAUCAAUUACAUACAGAACUAUGGUGCAUAAAACAGAAAGAAAGAAAGAAAGAAAGAAAGAAAGAAAGAAGCCCACAGUGGCAAUAAGAGUAAUUAAACUAGACCAUUGACAUGUUAUUAUGCUAUUAGGAAUUGAAAAGACAGGGAAUCAAUUAUUUAAUAAUGUCAGCAAUAACAGUAAUAGAGGAACAAUGCUAGAAACAUAAUUGUAACAGAGCUUAAAUUCAGGAACCAGUUAAUACAACCUAAAAAAUCACCUCUGUGACUAGUUAAUCCAGUGCAACAAAACAGUCCCAGUUUAUACUAGAGACAUUCUUAGAACACACAUUUCUUUCUUAAGCUAGCAUGAUAAGAACAUAUUAAGUCUUCCCUCACAGUCUUGCUGUGGGUGCAAUAGUAUUGCCACAUCAAUGCUAAUAACCUAUUCUAAAAACAGAACAACAGCUAUAUCCGAGUGAUCACAGUGGAAGUUUUCCUGAAAGGUCUCAAUGUGUCUAGCCUGUUGGUGCUUUCAAAACUUCAACAAUCCAGAUGCAAGGGGCCCUGGGAUAUGUUAUUUCCUUAAUGUCUGGAUCACAGCUGGAGGGAACUGGAAAAAUAAUAUUUUCUGGUUUUCCUUGUGCCUAGGUUUCUGACAUUCUAAAAUCCAGGGUACCGGAAGGGUGGCACAGCAACUAGGCUUGCUAUCCACUGCAAAGAAAUAUCAUGCUGAAUGUAGAAAGAAAGAAAAGAGAAGAUCCACCAUAGAUGGGGAAAGCUAAGGAGGUUUGUUGGAGAAGAAGAGUGGAGAGGAAGGAAAGAGAAGGUGUUCUUCACAUACACCCAAUACAUCCACCAUCAAAUUAUAUCCUCCAAAUUUAUGAGCUGUUAGAUGCAAGGAUUUCCACAGGAGUAGCCAUGGGUCUGUGGCAGCCAUGAGUCUUUUGUGAGUAAUGCUUAUUAAUCCACUUCCUGUUUGCAAUUUGUUACCUUA
ensembl:lncRNA